UACGUAGGGUGCGAGCGUUACCCGGAUUUAUUGGGCGUAAAGAGCGUGUAGGCGGUUCGGUAAGUCUGUCGUGAAAUCCUGAGGCUCAACCUUGGACGUGCGAUGGAUACUGCCGGGCUAGAGGAUGGUAGAGGCGAGUGGAAUUCUCGGUGUAGCGGUGAAAUGCGCAGAUAUCGGGAGGAACACCAGUAGCGAAGGCGGCUCGCUGGGCCAUUCCUGACGCUGAGACGCGAAAGCUAGGGGAGCGAACAGG
rnacentral:rRNA from 1 species